UCCGGUCUUCAAACCGGCAGUCCCACUAGACACAAGGUAACUAGCGGUAGGGGUUGCGCUCGUUGCGGGACUGAACCCAACAUCUCACGACACGAGCUGACGACAACCAUGCAGCACCUGUGUACGACCCUCGAAGGCGACCGCCUUUCAGCGGCUUGCACGUACAUGUCAAGGCUAGGUAAGGUUCUUCGCGUUGCGUCGAAUUAAACCACACGCUCCGCUGCUUGUGCGGGCCCCCGUCAAUUCCUUUGAGUUUUAAGCUUGCGCUCGUAGUCCCCAGGCGGCCGGCUUACCGCGUGUGCUGAGGCACCCAGGGGCUGAACGCCCCCAGACACCGAGCCGGCAUCGUUUACGGCGUGGACUAC
rnacentral:misc_RNA from 1 species